rnacentral:rRNA from 1 species
GACGUCAAGUCAUCAUGGCCCUUAUGUCUGGGGCUACACACGUAAUACAAUGGAUGAGACAAUAGGCGAAGCCGCGAGGUGGAGAUAAUCCCUAAACUCAUUCUCAGUUCGGAUUGGAGUCUGAAACUCGACUCCAUGAAGGUGGAAUCGCUAGUAAUCGCGGAUCAGCAUGCCGCGGUGAAUACGUUCCCGGGCCUUGUACACACCGCCCGUCACACCAUGGGAGUUGGCUUUACCCGAAGACGGUGCGCUAACCGCAAGGAGGCAGCCGGCCACGGUAAGGUCAGCGACUGGGGUGAAGUCGUAACAAGGUAGCCGUAGGGGAACCUGCGGCUGGAUCACCUCCUU